UUAUUAGUGAUAUGUUCGCACCUGUAUCUACUAGGAAUGUUAGAUGUUUUUCUGUCUUGGCAUUGUCAAAUGACACGAAUAUGUUGAGAUUGAGAUUGAUGGUUUGAAGCUUUGCUUUUAAAAAUUUGGAGUAUCUGAAGGAGUUUGGGAGUUUCCCGAAGCCGUCUGGGUAACACGGACAUUAUUGUUGUGUCUUGUGUUCCCAUUUCUGACGUAAUUUUGGUUGUUAUGGGAUGUUCCGUUACCACGGUUAUUUCCUCUAUAAGUACCACGACCUCUAUAAUUUGACUGAUAGUUACU
rnacentral:lncRNA from 1 species